UCUCGAAAAAAGAAGGUAAUGUUGUUUUAAGUUAAAAUGGUAUAUGAAGGACUAUUAUCAAAUCUGCCUCAUACAAAGUGCAUUGGCAACAAUUGAUUUUUUUCUUUUCAGUUUAUCUGUGAAACAUUUGAGUGCAUCAUAAGAGGAUUCAAACGUAACUAUGGGGCUUACGCCUCCUGACCGCUUAGCGGUCCGACCCUCUUAAAGCGCCUUGCGCCUUAUGCUCUAUGCGUUACGCCUUGCUCUUAUGCUUUUAUAUAGAGUAUAUUAUAGAGUAUGUUUAGCUCACUGAAUGAAUAACUCAUGAAGUAUUGCUGCAAAAUAUAUAUUCUAUUUAUUAAUUAAUCAGUCUUGAAUUAAAUAAGUACAAAAGUAUAAAAACUUAAAGUAGGGUGUUAUUACUAGUUCUUAGCGCAUUAUGACGAGAUUCAGACUUGACGACUUGGAGGAAUCAUUGUUGGUUACCAUUCUUGUGGUAAAUGACAACGUUCUUGAAGAAAGCGUUGCUGACGUUGUUGUUCCAUUCAGCGGUGUUGACGGGGCGGUCGAAGGGGAAUCCAAGAGGGCGGUUGUCGAACACCUUCUUGUUGGAGCAAGUCAGGUAGUUGUCCACCUGGUUGUUGUUGUUGUUGUUAUUGUUCUUGUUCUCGGUUGGCGUUCAUUCCGUUGUGUCCGCAGGAGUUGCCGUUCUGGGUGUUUCCGCAGUUGUUGUUGUCGUUUUCUCCGUUGUUGAAGUUGUUGUUGUUGUUGUUCUGGCCGUUCUUGGUCGUGGUUCUGCUCAUGGAUGUUCCUCAUCAGACGGAGAAUUUGGAUUUGUCUUUGCAGGAAAUUCUUGUCAGCUGUAAUACAAUUCAGAAUACUUCAAUUUUCGAAAGAAUACGCAGUUUUUGGUCAAUACAAUACAUGAAAUUUACUUGAAUUGAGAAAAACAUAGAUUUCUGACGGUAUCUAUUGCACCAUAAACAUAUUGGAUGCAUACAAGUUUUUGAAUGAUAUAUAGACUCUCGAACGAAAUUUUGAUGCUUGAUAGCAUUUAAUCUCAUACUUUCAUUAUAACUGAUGGUCUCAAAAGUCCAGAUUUUUACGGGUCGAAAAGAGACUAGGAUUUCCUUUUACUAACUUUUUAUAUUAAAUUCUUACGACUUCAAUUCAUCUCGAAAAACGAUUGCACGCUCUUCGCUCAGUCUAUGUAAGUUUAAUUAUUCCAACCGAUAAAACUGUGUACAUGAGAAAAAAAAUUGGAUCUUACUCAAUGAAAUUAUUGAAAAGUGUAAGGAAUCCUCCAGAAAACUAUGAAAAAUAUUUUUCGAAAAGAAAAUCUUAGACUGCAAUUUCAAAACUAAGAAAGUGCAAUUUAAAAUAAUUUUAUUUUGACGUCAAAAAUGAAUUACACCAUUACAAACACAUAUUACAUAAAUCGCUUGACCAUUUUUUUAGGAGAUGCAACAGAGAAACGACAUUGAAUAAUUUGAAAAAAGAAACUUAUAUUUCACUGGAGUGAAAUGAUUGAAAAUUUCUAAGUACAAAACUAUGAUUUGACGCGAUCGUUUCAAAAAAAUAAAACUUGAAGAGAAAUUAAAUAUCUCUGCAUUUAGUCAGUAAAUUGUGUUUGCGAAAAGACAAGGAAUUUUUUUAGUAGCCAGAGCUUAGACUCGGUAGACACUUAGAAAAGUUAGCGAUUUCAUAAUUUAUAAAUUCAAAGUAUAUUUUGCAGAAAUGAAGCUUUUCUUACCUGGACCAUCCACCGUUGUUAUCACCACCAUCGGUAGCAUCUCGGCCCAAGUGGUGGGCAGCGAGAGCCACAGAGGUACACAAGCACAAAGAAAUGAACCAAGAACGCAUGGUGAACAACUGAAAGUAAAAGAUGCUUUCUCCGGACUGCACCGAGCUUUUAUACCAAUUUCUCGAGCUUCCUGUUAUCAGCCAGACGGCAAAAAAUAAAAAAGAGGAAAAAGGCUGUUUACAACUUAUUGCUCUUUAAUUGCAAUACAUUGAUCGAUAUUUAAUUGGUUGCGAAGAUUAGUUAUGCUACUAGAUAAGAUGCGCUUCCCCCCCCCCCCCAUUCCUCCUGCCGCAGUUAGACGGCUUUUGGUUUGCAAAAAACAACAACGAUAACGUGAAAGAGGGAGAGUGGGCUCAGCAUUUUCCGUUUUUUUGUGUCUCUUUCGUUCUAGGAUGAUAGCUUAACCUUCUCUGUCCGAUAACUCAAAAAUUGCAAGCUUUUUCAUUUUAGGCUCGGUAAUGUCUAAGGCUCAUUCAGGAUUUGUGUAUCUGCCCGUUUCUAAGUUUUUCCUUCUCAUCUCAUACUUAAUUAGAAUUGCUGUUGGUUUUUGGCCGAUCCAGAACUUUCUCCAAGAUGUUUUCAAAAAAAGCUUGGCUUGCAUUUUGUGGUUGACUUAGAUGCCUUUACCUCUUUCAAUGAGGAAAAAGUGCUUGCGUGAAGUCUCUAUAGUUGCAGAUGGGGAAAGUUCUAAAGGUUUCCUCCUUUACAGUCUGGCUUAGAUAUCAGUGACAUAUAGUGUAACCACAAUUUGUAUGAUAUGGGUGUAAAAUUGCAUCCGAAAUCGCGUCAAAUCUAGUUGUGUUGAGAAUUGUGUAAAGAAUUAUACUACCACAAAUAAAUAUUAAUUUUUCAUGAUAACGAAGAAUGUAUAAUAAAAUUUAUAUUGAAAAACGAACUUCAAAAGCAAAAUUUUAAAGCGUCUUCAUCCUCCGGUAAUACUGUAGGCUUUGCUAAGCAAUUAGGUAAUUUAGUUAUUUAAUCGAAGUGAACCCAACUUAGGGCACCAUAACUGAAAAGCUUUCAUUGAAGGGUCUUGAGAUUAAUAAAAUUUUGGAUCGAGACACCUUCUUUUUCGUAUAGGUGAUUAUUUACGCGUCGCAAAGCUUCAAUUAAGUUAUUCAGUUUCGUUGCUCAGCUUUGCCAACUGGGGGCCCCUAGAAAAAGAUUUUAUUCUUCAUUUCAGGUGGGAUUUCAUGAUGAAGUCCCACUUCUUUACUCGAUACUCUCUGGCAAAUCGAAGUGUUCUCAGUUUAAGGUGGAAUUUUAUGUUGAAACCUCGUUUUUUUACUCGAAACUCUCUACUCACUUAAAGUUUUGAUAAAUUGCCAGUAAAAACUGAGCAUUGUUAGCGAAAUGAAGCAUUGUUUUUUGUUCUCUUUUUUUAAUCUAGAGCAUUUUAAAGGGCGAAGAGAAACCUAAUGAGAGCCAUUGCGAUGAUAUAAGUGUUUUUUCAUGAACUUUUGAAACAAAACCUGUGUGCAAUGAAAAAAAUUAGCUUAUUUUAUAUUUGAUAUCUAAGAUUGGUUUUCUUGUUUUUGGCGAAAGUUCAUUUUCUCUUUCUCUUCUUCUUCGUUAAUUUCAUUAUUACUGAAAAAUUUCGAAAAGAAAAACUUAGGGACCCAGAUUUGCUAGUAUUGUCUCAGCUUUUCUACCAUUAGAGAAGAUCAAACGAUAUCCAAAAAUUAUGUAAAAAGCGAGUAAACUUCUCGCUAAAAGAUUUGGGUGAUUUCUCGAUACCGGGAAUAGUUGAGCUGUGCAAUGGUUUAAAAAUAAACAGUGUACUGAUUUUGACUAAAUUUCAUCAUUUUAUCCAGGGUAUUAGCUUUCUUUUCCCAGUUUUUAUAAAAAAAACUUUGGAUUUUAUCAACUGACAAACAACACAUCUAAUCUGAUCUUAACUACUACCGCCAGCGGGCCCGUCAAACGGUGGGUUGACGUUUCCGCACAAAAUUUCCGAUUUUGACAUUUGACUGCAAAAACCUGGAUUAACAUUUUCCGUGCAAAAUCAGUCAGCAAAACUUCAUUUUUGGCACGAUAUUGCAACCCAGUGCAGUCAAUAAUUGAAUCGUGAUUAUCUUAAUCCACAUACACACACACACAAAAAAAAAAAAUUAGAAGAAUUAGAGGAAAAUAUUUACUAAUGUAUUGUUCAUCGGAGAUCGCUUCAUUUUUUGUAAAAGAUACUACAUACCAACGAAAGUUGUUUUACCUUUUGAUGGCAAGAAAAAAGUUACUAGAUGCAUGUGGUAGCCGUUUCUAAAAAUAUGAGCGCUGUAGGCUGUAGCUCUGGUAAAAAAAUUUUGGACCGAAUUUCAAGGUUCCAUUAGCCAACACAAUCUGGCUGUUUUCCACCAAAAAUCGAAGAUUCACUUCAAAUGUGACUUUCACUAUUUCUACUUCUUUAAGGAUAAAUAUUUCCCCUCCUUCGCCAUUCUGCUCAUCCGAGGUAGGCACAAACACGGUAUAGCUUAGGCCAGGGCACCUCCUACAAGUGCCGUUGUCAGGUGUAACUUGAGCGGGAAAUAUUGGUUUCAGGACAUUCCAUCAAAGAUUUUUCGUCCGCGCACCUGUUUUGUCUAGUAAAAUACGUCCACGCUUAAAAUAAGCAACAGUGACUUGGUCUAAGCGUUAUAUUUUAGUCCGUAUGUAAAAUUAUAUUGACAAUAUCGAAAUCAGAAAAUUGAGAGGAAAUGACGUGUUGUUAUGGUAACUCGUUU
rnacentral:lncRNA from 1 species